GAAUUGCGAAAAGUAAUGUGAAUUGCAGAAUUCCGCGAACCAUCGAGUUUUCGAACGCAGCUUGCACCCUCUGGUCUGCCGGGGGGUAUUCGUGGCUGAGUAUCCGCUACUGUCCUUGCGCGGCCGCGGGGCGGCGCAGUGGUGAGCGAUCCGGCGGGCGGCAGCCCUGUCAAGCGCCGGUCGGUUGAAAUGCAGCGCGUGCUGUGCUUUGUCGCGGCAGACUGGCGUACUAGUUUUCUGCGGAGAUUUGAUACGCAUGGUUGCAUGGUUGCGAGCGGCGCGCGGUUGCGAGCGGCGCAUGGUUGCGGCCGUUGUGACUGGGGCAGCGGGCGCUGACGCGCCCCCUACCCCGUUUUGGGAUCUCAGCUCACGAAAGACGACCCGCUGAACUUAA
rnacentral:misc_RNA from 1 species